AACGAACGCUGGCGGCAUGGCUAAAACAUGCAAGUCGAGCGCGAAAGUUUCCUUCGGGAAGCGAGUAGAGCGGCGGAAGGGCGAGUAACGCAUGGGUAACGUACCUCUAGCACAGGGAUAGCUCACCGAAAGGUGUGGUAAUACCUGAUGAUACCGCUGUCACAUAAGUGGCUGGCGGUCAAAUGGUGGGGACCCUUCGGGGCCUACCGGCCAGAGAGCGACCCAUGUCCUAUCAGCUUGUUGGUGAGGUAGAGGCUCACCAAGGCUACGACGGGUACCGGGACUGAGAGGUCGGCCCGGCGCAUUGGGACUGAGACACUGCCCAGACUCCUACGGGAGGCUGCAGUAACGAAUAUUCCGCAAUGGGCGAAAGCCUGACGGAGCAAUGCCGCGUGUGGGAUGAAGCUCUUCGGAGUGUAAACCACUGUCAGGGACUACCAAGCGGAGGGGGCCAAUACCCCCCCGAGUUGAGGAAUCCCAGAGGAAGCCACGGCUAACUUCGUGCCAGCAGCCGCGGUAAUACGAAGGUGGCUAGCGUUGUUCGGAAUCACUGGGCUUAAAGAGCACGUAGGCGGCCCUACAAGUGUUUUGUGAAAUCCCCCGGCUCAACCGGGGAACUGCAUAGCAAACUGUAGGGCUUGAGGCAAGUAGAGGUACAUGGAACUCUUGGUGGAGCGGUGGAAUGCGUAGAUAUCAAGAGGAACGCCGGAGGCGAAAGCGGUGUACUGGGCUUGUCCUGACGCUGAGGUGCGAAAGCUAGGGGAGCGAACGGGAUUAGAUACCCCGGUAGUCCUAGCUGUAAACGAUGCCUACUAGGUCGGAGGGCUUCUGACAGUUUUCCGGUCGAAACUAAAGCGAUAAGUAGGC
rnacentral:rRNA from 1 species